rnacentral:tRNA from 1 species
GGAGAAGGAUUGUGGCUCACUGGAAGAGCCUCUGCUUUGCAUACAGGAAGUCGUAGGUUCAAUCCCUGGCAUCUCCA